UAAACCGAAAACUGCUCUCCCCUAAUGUUUUGUUCCUAAAAGCCUUGAUAGAAGUGGUGACAGAGAGAGAAAGAGAGAGAGAAAAAAAACCAUUAGUUCCCCACUUCAACUAGAGUUUGAAUGUGAGCUAUUGAGAAAGAGAACCUACAGUAUACAAUCAACUGAGUCAAAAAAUUUUAGUGUUUUUUUGACAAUUUUAUAUUUGUAGACACCCUCUGCCCUGGCUCUCUUUCUCUUGUGCAUGCAGGAGGGAGAGUACAUGCAUAUUUAUGGUUUGUGUUUUUUAUAGGGUAAUAUCUAUUUUCCAAUGAAAAUUUCAGGGCAAUUUCUGCUCGGUAUGAG
rnacentral:misc_RNA from 1 species